AUUUUAUUUUUAUAUUGUUUAUUUUUUUAUUAUUAUUUAUUUUUAUAAAAAUAAUUUGUUUAUUAGUAAUUUUUAUUGAAAUUUUUAUUUUUAACUAUAGUUCAUUUUACUGUGAAGGUUAUUUAUUAAUAUAGUAUAAGCAUACUUUUUUUGUAGUACCUUUUGUAUCAGGGUUUAUUAAUUUACAAUUAAUUAUUAUUAGUUUUCCCGAAAUUAAAAGAGUUAUAAAGUUAUUUAUGAUAGUUUACGUUUUAUAGUAAUUUUUAAUAUCUUUAUAGUGGUUAUAUGCUAUUCAAUUUUAAAUAUCUGGUUAUUUAAUAAAUUAAUUUAAUUAAGGUUAUUACAGGGCUGUUUUAUAAAUUUAUUUUUUGCAGUUGUAAUUACUAAAAUUGUAGGGGAUAAGCUCUGCAGUUAUUUUAUAACUUUAUUUUGUAAAAAUGUUUGUAGGCUUGACAACAGUCAUCAUUUAUUUCGUUACAGUUAAUCUUGUUUUUGUAUUUAUUUAUUUUGAGUUUAGAUUUUUAUUAAAUUGUUUUAUUUAUUUGUUUAUUAUAAGUAAUAAUGAUAAAAUUAGUAGUUUUGGAAUUUUAAGUAUAGGAAUUCGGCAAAUUUAAUGUUCGCCUGUUUAACAAAAACAUGUCCUUUAGAUUUAUUAAUUUAAGGUCUGACCUGCCCGGUGAUUUUUUUAACGGCCGCAGUAUUCUGACUGUGCGAAGGUAGCAUAAUCAUUUGUCUUUUAAUUGAAGGCUAGUAUGAAUGGUUGGACGAAUUAUUAACUUUCUUUAUUUGAAUUUUAUGAAUUUUAUUUUUGAGUUAAAAAGCUUAAAUUUGAUUAUAGGACGAGAAGACCCUAUAGAAUUUUAUUAAGGUUAUAUAUUUAUUGGUUUGGGUUUAAUGUGUUAUUAGGUGUAUAAUUUUAAUUUUGUUGGGGCGACAGUGAAAUUUAAUUAACUUUCAUUUUUAAUUUUUUCAUUAAUUAAUGUUUAUUUUGAUCCUUUAUUAUAGAUUAUAAGAUUAAAUUACCUUAGGGAUAACAGCGUAAUUUUUUCGGAGAGUUCUUAUCGAUGAAUAGAGUUUGCGACCUCGAUGUUGGAUUAAAGUUAGUUCUGGGUGUAGGGGCUUAUGAACUGAGUCUGUUCGACUUUUAAAUCUUUACAUGAUCUGAGUUCAGACCGGCGUGAGCCAGGUUGGUUUCUAUCCAUAAUGGAGAUAUUUAUAUUUUAGUACGAAAGGACCAAUUAUAAGUAAUAUUUAUAUAUGAUUGACUACUAUUAAUUU
rnacentral:rRNA from 1 species